rnacentral:rRNA from 1 species
UACGGCGAGUGAAGCGGCAAAAGCUCAAAUUUGAAAUCUGGUACCUUCGGUGCCCGAGUUGUAAUUUGGAGAGGGCAACUUUGGGGCCGUUCCUUGUCUAUGUUCCUUGGAACAGGACGUCAUAGAGGGUGAGAAUCCCGUGUGGCGAGGAGUGCGGUUCUUUGUAAAGUGCCUUCGAAGAGUCGAGUUGUUUGGGAAUGCAGCUCUAAGUGGGUGGUAAAUUCCAUCUAAAGCUAAAUAUUGGCGAGAGACCGAUAGCGAACAAGUACAGUGAUGGAAAGAUGAAAAGAACUUUGAAAAGAGAGUGAAAAAGUACGUGAAAUUGUUGAAAGGGAAGGGCAUUUGAUCAGACAUGGUGUUUUGUGCCCUCUGCUCCUUGUGGGUAGGGGAAUCUCGCAUUUCACUGGGCCAGCAUCAGUUUUGGUGGCAGGAUAAAUCCAUAGGAAUGUAGCUUGCCUCGGUAAGUAUUAUAGCCUGUGGGAAUACUGCCAGCUGGGACUGAGGACUGCGACGUAAGUCAAGGAUGCUGGCAUAAUGGUUAUAUGCCGCCCGUCUUGAAAC